rnacentral:lncRNA from 1 species
GUAAUGUUUAGAAAGGAACGUAAAGAUAGAAUUGUUUGAGUUGACGUCAUUUCAUAACAGGCCUGACAGCAGGUUUUCAGCUAGUAGUAAUAGAUCAAUUGUUUGCAAAUUAAGAAGAUAACUUUCAUCUUCAUUUCACAAGAUAGUUAGAGAGAGAAAAAAAAAGUUCAUUUUCAGACAAUUCCCUUUGCAAAUUCAUUUUAUGCAAAUGAGCGCUAUUUUAGUGAAGAUAACACCCAAGGCAAACUUUCUUGAAAAUUAUUUAUUAAGAAUACUGCGCAUACAGUUGACAGAA